rnacentral:rRNA from 1 species
UCGAACGCGAAGACCCCGCAAGGGGUUGUUAGCGUGGCAAACGGGUGAGUAACGCGUGGGCGACCUACCUCAGAGUGGGGGAUAACCUUCCGAAAGGGAGGCUAAUACCGCAUGACAUCCCAUGUUUGGAUACAUGGACAUCAAAGCCGGGGAUCGCAAGACCUGGCGCUUGGAGAGGGGCCCGCGUCCGAUUAGCUAGUUGGUGAGGUAACGGCUCACCAAGGCUCCGAUCGGUAUCCGGCCUGAGAGGGCGGACGGACACACUGGAACUGAGACACGGUCCAGACUCCUACGGGAGGCAGCAGUGGGGAAUUGUUCGCAAUGGGCGCAAGCCUGACGACGCAACGCCGCGUGGAGGAUGAAGACUUUCGGGUCGUAAACUCCUUUCGACCGAGAUGAAUGUCCCGCGACCCAAUACGUCGCGGGAGUGACAGUAUCGAGGGAAGAAGCCCCGGCUAACUCCGUGCCAGCAGCCGCGGUAAUACGGGGGGGGCAAGCGUUG